ensembl:lncRNA
GUCAGUUUAUAUAUAUCUCUCUCUGUCUGGUCAGUUUAUUAUAUCUCUCUGUCUGGUCAGUUUAUUAUAUCUCUCUGUCUGGUCAGUUUAUUUUAUUAUAUCUCUCUGUCUGGUCAGUUUAUUAUAUCUCUCUGUCUGGUCAGUUUUUUAUAUCUCUCUGUCUGGUCAGUUUAUUAUAUCUUUUAUUAUAUCUCUCUGUCUGGUCAGUUUAUUAUAUCUCUCUGUCUGGUCAGUUUAUUAUAUCUCUCUCUCUCUGUCUGGUCAGUUUAUUAUAUCUCUCUCUCUCUCUGUCUGGUCAGUUUAUUAUAUCUCUCUCUCUGUCUGGUCAGUUUAUUAUAUCUCUCUCUCUGUCUGGUCAGUUUAUUAUAUCUCUCUCUCUGUCUGGUCAGUUUAUUAUAUCUCUCUGUCU